CCUACGGGUGGCUGCAGUGGGGAAUAUUGGACAAUGGGCGAAAGCCUGAUCCAGCCAUGCCGCGUGUGUGAAGAAGGCCUUCGGGUUGUAAAGCACUUUCAGUGGGGAAGAAAGCCUUGGGGCUAAUACCCUCGAGGAAGGACAUCACCCACAGAAGAAGCACCGGCUAACUCCGUGCCAGCAGCCGCGGUAAUACGGAGGGUGCGAGCGUUAAUCGGAAUUACUGGGCGUAAAGCGCGCGUAGGCGGUCUGAUAAGCCGGUUGUGAAAGCCCCGGGCUCAACCUGGGAACGGCAUCCGGAACUGUCAGGCUAGAGUGUAGGAGAGGAAGGUAGAAUUCCCGGUGUAGCGGUGAAAUGCGUAGAGAUCGGGAGGAAUACCAGUGGCGAAGGCGGCCUUCUGGACUGACACUGACGCUGAGGUGCGAAAGCGUGGGUAGCAAACAGGAUUAGAUACCCGUGUAGUC
rnacentral:rRNA from 1 species